rnacentral:rRNA from 1 species
UACGAAGGGGGCUAGCGUUGUUCGGAAUCACUGGGCGUAAAGGGCGCGUAGGCGGCUUUAUAAGUCGGGGGUGAAAGCCUGUGGCUCAACCACAGAAUUGCCUUCGAUACUGUAGAGCUUGAGACCGGAAGAGGUAAGUGGAACUCCUAGUGUAGAGGUGGAAUUCGUAGAUAUUAGGAAGAACACCAGUGGCGAAGGCGGCUCACUGGUCCGGUACUGACGCGUGAGGUGCGAAAGCGUGGGGAGCAAACAGG